UGCAGCGUGAGCCAAGCGAUGAAGCCCCUU
rnacentral:piRNA from 1 species